rnacentral:rRNA from 1 species
CCGUUAUGCCGGGCGACCGGCGGACGGGUGCGUAACGCGUAUGGUAACCUACCUUUGACAGGGGGAUAACAUCGAGAAAUUGGUACUAAUACCCCAUAACAUCACCGGAGGCAUCUUCGGUGGUUGAAAACUCAGGUGGUCAGAGAUGGACAUGCGUUGUAUUAGCUGGUUGGUGAGGUAACGGCUCACCAAGGCGACGAUACAUGGGGGACUGAGAGGUUAACCCCCCACAUUGGUACUGAGACACGGACCAACUCCUACGGGAGGCAGCAG